GACAACAAUUCACCAAAGCUGCACCACCUGAGUCCCAACUCCGACCAACUUCCUACUGCUGUAGCGUAUGUAGUCGGAGGACGGGUUAGGACAGAACAGGGUGGUAAGGCUCGGACAAGAGCCUUAAAGGAGGGAAUGUUAACAGCCCCGUUAUCAUUGCACAGGCCUACCUGUCCCUGCCAACUUCGCUGUUUGGUUGCCAUGACAGCAGGGCCAGAGUGUUCUGUAGUCUCCAUAGCAAUCUGUCCUAAGUCUUUUCAAAUCUGGCCAAAGGUCUUGUCAGGCCCAGAAGAAACAGCUUCACUACAACAGCUUCUAUUCAACUUCAAUUUAUAGACUUUCUCUUGCCAUAUAACAUAUCUAUCAAUAACUCCAAAAUCACACCUUCCCAGAACAACAGUGACCCCCCCAGACCAACGGUGACCUCCCAGGCUGACAGUGACCCCCUAAGCCAACGGUGACCCCCCAGACCAACAGUGACCUUCCAGGCUGACAGUGACCCCCCUAAGCCAACGGUGACCCCCCAGACCAACAGUGACCUCCCGGACUAACAGUGACCCCCCAUACUAACAGUGACCCCUCCCAGACUAACAGUAACCCCCAGAUCAAGUGACCCCUCCAGACCAACAAUGACCCCCAAACCAACAGUGACCUCCUCAGACCAACAGUGACCCCCAAACCAACAAUGACCCCUCCCAGACUAAUAGUGACCCCUCCCAGACCAACAAUUACCCCUCCCAGAUUAACAGUGACCCCCCCCAGAUCAACAGUGAACCCUCCCAGACUAACAGUGAACCCUCUCAGACUACCAGUGACCCCUCCAGACCAACAGUGACCCCUCCCAGACUAACAGUGACUCCCUAAAUCAACAGUGACCCCUCCAAACCAACAGUGACAGCAUACAUACAGCUUCUCUCCACCUUGAGUUGCUAAACCAGGUUGAGUCUUGUGGUUUAAACCCAGCAGACCCUUUAACCUGAACACAAACACCUGGAACUGUUCUUCUGCGGCUACAAUAAAACAUCUUGGAAAUAGAUUCCUGUACAUCUGAAAGCCUCCAAUCUCAGGACGUCUUGCCCGAGUCUCUACAGCCUUCCAGCCCCAGCGCCCUCGCAUACCCGGGCUCCUCUGGCUGGGCUCGUUCCGGAUCUUGCGCCCUCAAGCCGCCGCUCAGCGGGGACCCACGCUUGCACUUCCUUCCCGGAGCUCUCUGGCUCCGGACACACCGCAUUCACCUCGGGAUGAAGACUCGGAUAGCACUAGAAAAAUGGGAGUUCCCGGAUGAGGCUCGAUCGCAGAAGUCAGAGCCUUCUCCGCGCGUGCAGCCACGGCACGGGACUGGACGCCACCUUCGGAGCUUGGCCACUGUUCAGGACCCUGGAGAUUCGGCCCUGAGCCUCACUAUGCAGACACCGGCGCACCAGGGGUAUUGGGGUGCCAGCCAAAACCCCACAGAGCUGCCCGAAGCGACUUCUUGGUGGAGUUUUCAGGAAACGCUCUCUUCGUUCGCAGUAGCUGGCAGUUUACCCAGUGGUGAAAAUGCCGCAGACUCUGGAGCUGUUCGGAUCCGUCUCCACGCCGCCCUCCAGCUCCCGGAACCUUAGAGGGACACCUUUCUCCUCCUUGCAUCUAUCGGCGUCCUCUGCACUGGAAUCUGCCUUGCGCUUUCGAACCGUCGAGCUGGGAGGCCGAGGCUCAUCCAGGACUCUGCAGCGGCGAGCAGGCUGCCUGCGGUCUUGGAAUACGCUUCCCAUCCGAAGCGCGAAGUCUUUGCUAGUUUAAAAUCCUUUGCGUUUUUUACGGAAAGCAAGAGAAAAAGGAAGCUCCGACUACGACCUGCAAAGCUGAGGUCCUAGCUAGUUUCGGGCGCGUAUGUGCGCCCCAGGAACAUGAAAGAUGCUAGACCAGCGGCCCGAGAAGGGCACAGACCUCCGACGACUCUACAGGUCAUGCUGGGACCCAAGAACAGAUUCUGAUGACUAGAGAUCGGCGAUCUGGUGCCAGAUUUGCCCUUAAGGACUACUGGCAAACUUCAAACUGGCAUUUAUUAGCAGGCCAGAUGUCUUGUAGAUUGUACCACAAACCCCGAUUUCUUUAAUUAUGUUUUGUCUUAAGUAGCCCAGGCUGCCUCAAACUCACCAUGUAGCUGAGGAUGACCUUGAGCUUUUGAAUGUGUUUUUGUCUGUCUGUUUGUUUGUUUGUUUUAA